GUCGCCCCUCCGGGUGGCUCAGCCUCUUCCCCUCUCUCACAAUCCCUGAAUCCCUCUGUCCCUUUCUGUUCUUCCCACUCCCUAUUCUGUCCUCAUCACUACCUUCCCCAAUCCCAGCCUCAAGUACACAGCCCUCAUUUUCACUCCUACCUCCUCAUCCCCAUCAUAGCCCUUGACCUAUGCUUUUCCAGUUUCCUAACAACAACAAAAACACCUUUUAUUAUUUCUACCUUUCUAGCACUUCCUCUCUCCAGGUGCUGGGUCCACAACCCAGUUCUGUUGCCAACAUUGUCAAAAUCCACGGUGUCAGGGAAGACCAGCCUGCAGCUGCCAUGGCAGCCCUGGGGAGACAAGUGCUCCUCUCUGUGGACCAGCUGUAGCAGUGGCCACCAGGCAGCCAGAAGUGACCAGAGCCAAACUCCAGGAUGUAGUGGCACAGGCUUCCAGUAUCACGGCAAACAGGCUUGCAGAUAAUCACCCACAUGCAUGGUGCCUCUCUCCCUCCCUACUCCCUCACCCUUGAAUGGAGUAACUCAUGAGCAUUCCCAAAUGAGCACUGGGAGGCUGGGUUUGCAAAGCCUGGUGAAUGUAAUGCAUCCAGAUUGGGGAGUCGCAGGAGGCUGGAUAUGCAGGAGACAGCAGCCCCUUUGGUGGCCUCCCUGUCCUGCACAGGACCUUCCACCCUCCACCCAACA
rnacentral:lncRNA from 1 species